GCUUACGACCACACGGCCUGAGUACGCCUGAUCUCGUCUGAUCUCGGAAGCUAAGCAGGGUCGGCCUGGUUAGUACUUGGAGGGAGACCGCCUGGGAAUACCAGGUGCUGUAAGCU
rnacentral:rRNA from 1 species